rnacentral:lncRNA from 1 species
UUUCACAUUGUAUUGAUAAGCUCACGCACGGGAAAAGAGAAAGCUGUCCACUUUUAUACCGAAUGAUCACACAUAUCAAUAUAUAGCUUUUUUUUUAAUUUUUUUUAUUCAUGUACAUUUCACUAACUCGUCCUAUAACUAAUAAAACCAUUUGUGUUUCAAAAAAGAAAGGUCAAAUUAAAAGUUAACUCCAAGUAUAUUAAAAACUUAUUCAAUCAAGUAGUUUAAUGUUUUGGCAAAAACAUUUGAAUUGACUAACGUA